GACGAACGCUGGCGGCGUGCCUAAUACAUGCAAGUAGAACGCUGAAGAGAGGAGCUUGCUCUUCUUGGAUGAGUUGCGAACGGGUGAGUAACGCGUAGGUAACCUGCCUUGUAGCGGGGGAUAACUAUUGGAAACGAUAGCUAAUACCGCAUAACAAUGGAUGACACAUGUCAUUUAUUUGAAAGGGGCAAUUGCUCCACUACAAGAUGGACCUGCGUUGUAUUAGCUAGUAGGUGAGGUAACGGCUCACCUAGGCGACGAUACAUAGCCGACCUGAGAGGGUGAUCGGCCACACUGGGACUGAGACACGGCCCAGACUCCUACGGGAGGCAGCAGUAGGGAAUCUUCGGCAAUGGGGGCAACCCUGACCGAGCAACGCCGCGUGAGUGAAGAAGGUUUUCGGAUCGUAAAGCUCUGUUGUAAGUCAAGAACGAGUGUGAGAGUGGAAAGUUCACACUGUGACGGUAGCUUACCAGAAAGGGACGGCUAACUACGUGCCAGCAGCCGCGGUAAUACGUAGGUCCCGAGCGUUGUCCGGAUUUAUUGGGCGUAAAGCGAGCGCAGGCGGUUUGAUAAGUCUGAAGUUAAAGGCUGUGGCUCAACCAUAGUUCGCUUUGGAAACUGUCAAACUUGAGUGCAGAAGGGGAGAGUGGAAUUCCAUGUGUAGCGGUGAAACGCGUAGAUAUAUGGAGGAACACCGGUGGCGAAAGCGGCUCUCUGGUCUGUAACUGACGCUGAGGCUCGAAAGCGUGGGGAGCGAACAGGAUUAGAUACCCUGGUAGUCCACGCCGUAAACGAUGAGUGCUAGGUGUUGGAUCCUUUCCGGGAUUCAGUGCCGCAGCUAACGCAUUAAGCACUCCGCCUGGGGAGUACGACCGCAAGGUUGAAACUCAAAGGAAUUGACGGGGGCCCGCACAAGCGGUGGAGCAUGUGGUUUAAUUCGAAGCAACGCGAAGAACCUUACCAGGUCUUGACAUCCCGAUGCUAUUUCUAGAGAUAGAAAGUUACUUCGGUACAUCGGUGACAGGUGGUGCAUGGUUGUCGUCAGCUCGUGUCGUGAGAUGUUGGGUUAAGUCCCGCAACGAGCGCAACCCCUAUUGUUAGUUGCCAUCAUUCAGUUGGGCACUCUAGCGAGACUGCCGGUAAUAAACCGGAGGAAGGUGGGGAUGACGUCAAAUCAUCAUGCCCCUUAUGGCCUGGGCUACACACGUGCUACAAUGGUUGGUACAACGAGUUGCGAGUCGGUGACGGCAAGCUAAUCUCUUAAAGCCAAUCUCAGUUCGGAUUGUAGGCUGCAACUCGCCUACAUGAAGUCGGAAUCGCUAGUAAUCGCGGAUCAGCACGCCGCGGUGAAUACGUUCCCGGACCU
rnacentral:rRNA from 1 species